rnacentral:rRNA from 1 species
UGCAGUCGCGCGGUCAGCAAUGGCAGCGGCGGACGGGUGAGUAACGCGUAGGAAUGUAUCCAGAGGUGGGGGACAACCCCGGGAAACUGGGGCUAAUACCGCAUAUGGGCUGAGGCCCAAAGCAGUAAUGCGCCUUUGGAGCAGCCUGCGUCCGAUUAGGUAGUUGGUGGGGUAAUGGCCUACCAAGCCUUCGAUCGGUAGCUGGUCUGAGAGGACGAUCAGCCACACUGGGACUGAGACACGGCCCAGACUCCUACGGGAGGCAGCAGUGGGGAAUAUUGGACAAUGGGCGAAAGCCUGAUCCAGCAAUGCCGCGUGUGUGAAGAAGGUCUUCGGAUCGUAAAGCACUUUCGACAGGGACGAUGAUGACGGUACCUGUAGAAGAAGCCCCGGCUAACUUCGUGCCAGCAGCCGCGGUAAUACGAAGGGGGCUAGCGUUACUCGGAAUUACUGGGCGUAAAGGGCGCGUAGGCGGCUUGGCCAGUCAGGCGUGAAAUUCCUGGGCUUAACCUGGGGACUGCGCUUGAUACUGCCAGGCUUGAGGCCGAGAGAGGGUGGUGGAAUUCCCAGUGUAGAGGUGAAAUUCGUAGAUAUUGGGAAGAACACCGGUGGCGAAGGCGACCACCUGGCUCGGUACUGACGCUGAGGCG